UGGGGAAUAUUGGACAAUGGGCGGAAGCCUGAUCCAGCCAUGCCGCGUGUGUGAAGAAGGCCUUUUGGUUGUAAAGCACUUUAAGCGAGGAGGAGGCUACUUGGAUUAAUACUCUAGGAUAGUGGACGUUACUCGCAGAAUAAGCACCGGCUAACUCUGUGCCAGCAGCCGCGGUAAUACAGAGGGUGCGAGCGUUAAUCGGAUUUACUGGGCGUAAAGCGUGCGUAGGCGGCUUCUUAAGUCGGAUGUGAAAUCCCUGAGCUUAACUUAGGAAUUGCAUUCGAUACUGUGAAGCUAGAGUAUGGGAGAGGAUGGUAGAAUUCCAGGUGUAGCGGUGAAAUGCGUAGAGAUCUGGAGGAAUACCGAUGGCGAAGGCAGCCAUCUGGCCUAAUACUGACGCUGAGGUACGAAAGCAUGGUGAGCAAACAGG
rnacentral:rRNA from 1 species